UCUCAGGGCAGGGUGUGAUUCCCGACCGGCGGUGAAGCGUAGAUGCUUAAGCCCGCGAGCUGCAUAUUAGCAGUUGAUUCCGUGUGAUUCGGAAGCCGACAGUAAAGUCUGGAUGGGAGAGUAU
rnacentral:ncRNA from 1 species